rnacentral:other from 1 species
GUGACGCAGGCUUAUCGGGUUCUUCUUCGUUCUUGAACCGAUACGCAAUACUUUUGGAGUGUACUCUCUGUCAUUUGUGUGCAUACUCUUCACUGAGGAGCCUAAUGGUGACAUAUCGCACUCCACCUUGAACGCAGGGUUCAAGGGAACAAGAUACGAAUCACUAAGUGACUGCGUCUCU